GGUCGUAGUUCAGUGGUAGAGCGUUCACCUAGCAAAUGGGAAACCAUGGGUUCAAACCUCAGCACCA
rnacentral:tRNA from 1 species